CAAUCUGCCCAUGUCUGGGGGAUAACAGUUGGAAACGACUGAUAAUACCGCAUAAUAUGGUUUGAAGGCAUCUUCUUUCCAUCAAAGAUUUAUCGGAUAUGGAUGAGCUCGCGUCUGAUUAGCUUGUUGGUGAGGUAACGGCUCACCAAGGCGACGAUCAGUAGCCGACCUGAGAGGGUGAUCGGCCACAUUGGAACUGAGACACGGUCCAAACUCCUACGGGAGGCAGCAG
rnacentral:rRNA from 1 species